UACGGAGGGUGCAAGCGUUGUCCGGAUUUAUUGGGUUUAAAGGGUGCGUAGGUGGCUUGUUAAGUCCGGGGUGAAAGCCCACAGCUCAACUGUGGAACUGCCCUGGAUACUGGCGAGCUUGAGUCCAGACGAGGUUGGCGGAAUGGAAGCUGUAGCGGUGAAAUGCAUAGAUAGCUUCCAGAACCCCGAUUGCGUAGGCAGCUGACUAGGCUGGUACUGACACUGAGGCACGAAAGCGUGGGGAGCGAACAGG
rnacentral:rRNA from 1 species